ensembl:lncRNA
GGGGUGGAAAGGUAGGCCUAUUCUGUCUGGGGUGGAAAGGUAGGCCUACAAUGUCUGGGGUGGAAAGGUAGGUCCUACUCUGUCUGGGGUGGAAAGGUAGGCCCUCCUCUGUCUGGGGUGGAAAGGUAGGCCUACAAUGUCUGGGGUGGAAAGGUAGGUCCUACUCUGUCUGGGGUGGAAAGGUAGGCCUACUCUGUCUGGGGUGGAAAGGUAGGCCUACUCUGUCUGGGGUGGAAAGGUAGGCCUACUCUGUCUGGGGUGGAAAGGUAGGCCUCCUCUGUCUGGGGUGGAAAGGUAGGUCCUACUCUGUCUGGGGUGGAAAGGUAGGCUUACUCUGUCUGGGGUGGAAAGGUAGG